rnacentral:tRNA from 1 species
GGCGGUCGAGAUCCGCCCGGUCGGCUUCGGUGAUCUCCAGCACCAGCGGCCGGGAGCUCUCCGCCAGCAGCGGUUCCAGCUCGCGCGGCCGCCGC